UUUUUUUUUUGCAGAGAGUUUUUCGUGGAAGGGAAACACUGAAGAGACGUCAAUCUGCAGAGAAACGAGGAAGGAGAGGGUUUCUUUCUGUUUUUUAAAGGUUCUCAACGGCUAAGAGUUAGUGAUGUUUUUAAUUUGGUUCUGGAAGUGAAACACGUGGUUGGACAUGUAGGAUCUUAGAGGGAGGGGAGAUUUCGGCGGGUGAUGACGUGGGGUCGUCACAUGGGAUAGUGAGGUGGCAGGAAGAGAUUGGGCAGGGUAGAUUCUUCCGCGAAUUAUCUGUCGGCUCAUACGAAUAUUCUGGCUUAAAGGAUAUGCUGCCAAGGAGCGUGCAUGGGUGAGGGUGCGUGGAAGGUUGAUGGAUUUCCACCGUUCAAAUUAGCUUCAUUUCCAUUAUAUAUAGUUUGCAUUAUAUACGGUUGCUUUAAUAGUUAAACCUGAGUGGGAGCUCGACUCAGUUGCGC